GAUGAACGCUGGCGGCGUGCCUAAUACAUGCAAGUCGAGCGAACAGACGAGGAGCUUGCUCCUUUGACGUUAGCGGCGGACGGGUGAGUAACACGUGGGUAACCUACCUAUAAGACUGGGAUAACUUCGGGAAACCGAAGCUAAUACCGGAUAAUAUUUCGAACCGCAUGGUUCGAUAGUGAAAGAUGGCUUUGCUAUCACUUAUAGAUGGACCUGCGCCGUAUUAGCUAGUUGGUAAGGUAACGGCUUACCAAGGCAACGAUACGUAGCCGACCUGAGAGGGUGAUCGGCCACACUGGAACUGAGACACGGUCCAGACUCCUACGGGAGGCAGCAGUAGGGAAUCUUCCGCAAUGGGCGAAAGCCUGACGGAGCAACGCCGCGUGAGUGAUGAAGGUCUUCGGAUCGUAAAACUCUGUUAUUAGGGAAGAACAAACGUGUAAGUAACUGUGCACGUCUUGACGGUACCUAAUCAGAAAGCCACGGCUAACUACGUGCCAGCAGCCGCGGUAAUACGUAGGUGGCAAGCGUUAUCCGGAAUUAUUGGGCGUAAAGCGCGCGUAGGCGGUUUUUUAAGUCUGAUGUGAAAGCCCACGGCUCAACCGUGGAGGGUCAUUGGAAACUGGAAAACUUGAGUGCAGAAGAGGAAAGUGGAAUUCCAUGUGUAGCGGUGAAAUGCGCAGAGAUAUGGAGGAACACCAGUGGCGAAGGCGACUUUCUGGUCUGUAACUGACGCUGAUGUGCGAAAGCGUGGGGAUCAAACAGGAUUAGAUACCCUGGUAGUCCACGCCGUAAACGAUGAGUGCUAAGUGUUAGGGGGUUUCCGCCCCUUAGUGCUGCAGCUAACGCAUUAAGCACUCCGCCUGGGGAGUACGACCGCAAGGUUGAAACUCAAAGGAAUUGACGGGGACCCGCGCAAGCGGUGGAGCAUGUGGUUUAAUUCGAAGCAACGCGAAGAACCUUACCAAAUCUUGACAUCCUUUGACCCUUCUAGAGAUAGAAGUUUCCCCUUCGGGGGACAAAGUGACAGGUGGUGCAUGGUUGUCGUCAGCUCGUGUCGUGAGAUGUUGGGUUAAGUCCCGCAACGAGCGCAACCCUUAAGCUUAGUUGCCAUCAUUAAGUUGGGCACUCUAAGUUGACUGCCGGUGACAAACCGGAGGAAGGUGGGGAUGACGUCAAAUCAUCAUGCCCCUUAUGAUUUGGGCUACACACGUGCUACAAUGGACAAUACAAAGGGCAGCGAAACCGCGAGGUCAAGCAAAUCCCAUAAAGUUGUUCUCAGUUCGGAUUGUAGUCUGCAACUCGACUACAUGAAGCUGGAAUCGCUAGUAAUCGUAGAUCAGCAUGCUACGGUGAAUACGUUCCCGGGUCU
rnacentral:rRNA from 1 species